rnacentral:rRNA from 1 species
CGUACGCAACUUUCCUUCAAGCGGGGAAUAGCCCGGGGAAACCCGGAUUAAUACCCUAUAUUAUAUUUGAAUGGCAUCAUUUAAAUAUUAAAGCUUCGGCACUUGAUGAUGGGCGUGCGGCUGAUUAGGUAGUUGGCGGAGUAAUAGCCCACCAAGCCUGCGAUCAGUAGCUGAUGUGAGAGCAUGAUCAGCCACACGGGCACUGAGACACGGGCCCG